rnacentral:rRNA from 1 species
AAUCAACGCUGGCGGCGUGCCUCAGACAUGCAAGUCGAACGCGAAAGUCCCCUUCGGGGGAUAAGUAGAGUGGCGUCCGGGUGAGUAACACGUAGGUAAUCUACCUUCGGGUGGGGAAUAACCCAGGGAAACUUGGGCUAAUACCGCAUAAUGCAGCGGCACCACAUGGUGACAGUUGUUAAAGCGGGGGAUCUUCGGAUCUCGCGCCUGAAGAGGAGCCCUGCGGCAGAUUAGCAGUUUGGUAAGGUAACGGCUUACCAAGGCGACGAUCUGUAGCCGGCCUGAGAGGGCGGUCGGCCACACUGACGACUGACAUACGGGUCAGACUCCUACGGAGGCAGCAGUGGGGAAUUGUUCGCAAUGGGCGCAAGCCUGACGACGCAACGCCGCGUGGAGG